rnacentral:rRNA from 1 species
UACGGAGGGGGCAAGCGUUGUUCGGAAUUACUGGGCGUAAAGGGCGCGUAGGCGGCCUGUUGCGUCAGGUGUGAAAUCCCCGGGCUCAACCUGGGAACGGCACUUGAUACGGGCAGGCUGGAAUCCGGGAGAGGAUGGUGGAAUUCCCAGUGUAGAGGUGAAAUUCGUAGAUAUUGGGAAGAACACCGAUGGCGAAGGCAGCCAUCUGGACCGGUAUUGACGCUGAGGCGCGACAGCGUGGGGAGCAAACAGG